UUUUGCUACUGUUAUGAAUCGUAAUGUAAAUAUCUGAUAUGCAGGAUGUAUUUUCAGGGGUCGCAACCCACAGGUUUAGAACCGCUGCUAGAGCUUUCAGAGAUCAUU